GGGGAAUAUUGCACAAUGGGCGGAAGCCUGAUGCAGCGACGCCGCGUGGGGGAUGACGGUCUUCGGAUUGUAAACCCCUUUCAGUAGGGACGAAGCGCAAGUGACGGUACCUGCAGAAGAAGCACCGGCCAACUACGUGCCAGCAGCCGCGGUAAUACGUAGGGUGCGAGCGUUGUCCGGAAUUACUGGGCGUAAAGAGCUCGUAGGCGGUUUGUCGCGUCGUCCGUGAAAACUCGGAGCUUAACUCCGGGCGUGCGGGCGAUACGGGCAGACUUGAGUACUACAGGGGAGACUGGAAUUCCUGGUGUAGCGGUGAAAUGCGCAGAUAUCAGGAGGAACACCGGUGGCGAAGGCGGGUCUCUGGGUAGUAACUGACGCUGAGGAGCGAAAGCAUGGGUAGCGAAC
rnacentral:rRNA from 1 species